rnacentral:rRNA from 1 species
UGGGGAAUCUUGGACAAUGGGCGCAAGCCUGAUCCAGCCAUGCCGCGUGAGUGACGAAGGCCUUAGGGUUGUAAAGCUCUUUUGCCGGGGACGAUAAUGACGGUACCCGGAGAAUAAGUCCCGGCUAACUUCGUGCCAGCAGCCGCGGUAAUACGAAGGGGACUAGCGUUGUUCGGAAUUACUGGGCGUAAAGCGCACGUAGGCGGAUUUGUAAGUCAGGGGUGAAAUCCCGGGGCUCAACCUCGGAACUGCCUUUGAUACUGCAAAUCUCGAGUCCGAUAGAGGUGGGUGGAAGUCCUAGUGUAGAGGUGAAAUUCGUAGAUAUUAGGAAGAACACCGGUGGCGAAGGCGGCCCACUGGAUCGGUACUGACGCUGAGGUGCGAAAGCGUGGGGAGCAAACAGG